rnacentral:rRNA from 1 species
GACGAACGCUGGCGGCGUGCUUAACACAUGCAAGUCGAACGGAAAGGCCCUGCUUCUGUGGGGUGCUCGAGUGGCGAACGGGUGAGUAACAGGUGAGUAACCUGCCCUUGACUUUGGGAUAACUUCAGGAAACUGGGGCUAAUACCGGAUAGGAGCUCCUGCUGCAUGGUGGGGGUUGGAAAGUUUCGGCGGUUGGGGAUGGACUCGCGGCUUAUCAGCUUGUUGGUGGGGUAGUGGCUUACCAAGGCUUUGACGGGUAGCCGGCCUGAGAGGGUGACCGGCCACAUUGGGACUGAGAUACGGCCCAGACUCCUACGGGAGGCAGCAGUGGGGAAUAUUGCACAAUGGGCGGAAGCCUGAUGCAGCAACGCCGCGUGCGGGAUGACGGCCUUUGGGUUGUAAACCGCUUUCGCCUGUGACGAAGCGUGAGUGACGGUAAUGGGUAAAGAAGCACCGGCUAACUACGUG